UUUAGGCAACAGAUCAGUAUCCUACUGUAGCCUUGAGCAAUCUGGCUCUGGGUCCCUCUCCAGCUCCAUCCAACCCCAUCCUCCUUGAUUUCAGUGCUUUGAUCAUGCCACAACCUCACACCUCUGAGCUUCUCCCAUAAACUGCCUGCAAAAUUUGAUCUUCUCCCUUGUUCUCCAGCUAACUCCUGCUGAACUUUCACACAUCAUUUUCUCAGAGAUUCCUCCUCUAAGAGUCCAUAGGAUAUUUCUUCCAAGUACGGUCCUGCACCCCAAAUGCCGGCAUCACCUGGAACUUGUGAGAAAUGCAACUGCACAGUCCCCACCCUGGACCUACUGACCAGAAACUCUAGGCAAGGGCCCAGCCCUGCAGUUGAUCACCAGCAUCACCAUCUGAGCUGCCUGUGAUGUGCUUCUGGCAGAGAAGACCUAACUAGACGCUUUGGAAGUGGAAGUCAGCCUUUGGAGGGCCUCCAACAAACUGGGAAUGAUGUUCGCUGAGAGUCCUAGGAAGCUGUGCAGCCAGCUGGCCGAGGUCAGGCUUCAGACUACCAUCUUCUUGUGGAUUCGGAUGUGCCAUAGCUUUGGGAGUCUCUUGUGGAAGAUGACGAAGCCACAAGAAGGAGGCACCUGUUUUCUGGAACCAGGAAGAAGACCAAUUGCUGAUGAACACCCCCCCCCCCCCCAUUUUGGAUUUUACAUUUGUGAACAUUUCGGUUGUGUUGGGACAUCAUACAUUUUGGGGAUUUGUUUAUAAUAGCAACUAAUGAUACCCUA